ACACUAUAUAUUCCUUUCAACUUUUUUGCAUAUAUUAAUAAGCCAAACGUCUGCCCACAAGUCCAAUCUUCCAUCAACUCUUUCUGGUGUUGUGUUCUGGCUUUGUCUUGCCAUUAUGAAUGACCCCAAGUAUGGUUAUCCUUACCCCCCUCAAGGGGUUUAUCAAGGACCGCCUCCCGUGAUGGCGCCUCCUCAAUAUUAUGCACCACCACCACCACCGCAACGGCAAGUAGGCUUUCUGGAGGGAUGUCUUGCAGCUUUAUGUUGCUGCUGUCUCUUGGAUGAUUGUUGCUGUGACCCUUCAGUUGUACUUGUCACCUAAUGACGCCUGUGAUUAUACGGCACAAAGAGUUUGGAUGUUUUAUAUUAGGACACAUGUAAGGGUCUUUGUUGAUUAUAUAAAACUAUUGAUUGAUGAGUA